CGUGUAGGCGGUCCGGUAAGUCGGUUGUGAAAGUCGGGGGCUCAACCCUCGGAGCCGACCGAUACUGUCGGGCUAGAGUCCGGAAGAGGCGAGUGGAAUUCCUGGUGUAGCGGUGAAAUGCGCAGAUAUCAGGAGGAACACCAAUGGCGAAGGCAGCUCGCUGGGACGGUACUGACGCUGAGACGCGAAAGCGUGGGGAGCAAACA
rnacentral:rRNA from 1 species